rnacentral:rRNA from 1 species
UACGAGUGCCCCAAGCGUUAUCCGGAAUUAUUGGGCGUAAAGGGUGUGUAGGCGGUUGUGUUAGUCUCAUGUUAAAUUCUUCGGCUUAACCGGGGUACCGCAUGGGAAACGGCACAACUAGAGGAUGCGAGGGAUCUGUGGAACUCAUGGAGUAGGGGUGAAAUCCGUUGAUAUCAUGGGGAACACCGAAAGCGAAGGCAGCAGAUUGGCGCAUUCCUGACGCUGAAACACGAAAGCGUGGGUAGCGAAUGGG